GCGGCUGUGACGCAAUUGGUAGCGUACCAGCUUCCCAAGCUGGAGGUUGCGGGUCCGAGUCCCGUCAGCCGCU
rnacentral:tRNA from 1 species